rnacentral:rRNA from 1 species
UGCAAGUCGAGCGGAACGAUCCUAGCUUGCUAGGAGGCGUCGAGCGGCGGACGGGUGAGUAAUGCAUAGGAAUCUGCCCGGUAGUGGGGGAUAACUUGAGGAAACUCAAGCUAAUACCGCAUACGCCCUACGGGGGAAAGCAGGGGCUCUUCGGACCUUGCGCUAUCGGAUGAGCUUAUGUCGGAUUAGCUGGUUGGUGAGGUAACGGCUCACCAAGGCGACGAUCCGUAGCUGGUCUGAGAGGAUGAUCAGCCACAUCGGGACUGAGACACGGCCCGAACUCCUACGGGAGGCAGCAGUGGGGAAUAUUGGACAAUGGGGGCAACCCUGAUCCAGCCAUGCCGCGUGUGUGAAGAAGGCCCUCGGGUUGUAAAGCACUUUCAGCGAGGAAGAAUGCUUGUCGGUUAAUACCCGGCAAGGGAGACAUCACUCGCAGAAGAAGCACCGGCUAACUCCGUGCCAGCAGCCGCGGUAAUACGGAGGGUGCGAGCGUUAAUCGGAAUUACUGGGCGUAAAGCGUGCGUAGGCGGCUUGAUAAGCCGGUUGUGAAAGCCCCGGGCUCAACCUGGGAACGGCAUCCGGAACUGUUAGGCUAGAGUGCAGGAGAGGAAGGUAGAAUUCCCGGUGUAGCGGUGAAAUGCGUAGAGAUCGGGAGGAAUACCAGUGGCGAAGGCGGCCUUCUGGACUGACACUGACGCUGAGGUACGAAAGCGUGGGUAGCAAACAGGAUUAGAUACCCUGGUAGUCCACGCCGUAAACGAUGUCGACUAGCCGUUGGGGUCCUCGAGACCUUUGUGGCGCAGUUAACGCACUAAGUCGACCGCCUGGGGAGUACGGCCGCAAGGUUAAAACUCAAAUGAAUUGACGGGGGCCCGCACAAGCGGUGGAGCAUGUGGUUUAAUUCGAUGCAACGCGAAGAACCUUACCUA